rnacentral:rRNA from 1 species
CGUCAAAGCUUAAUUAUAUACCCAAUCAAUCCCAUAAACAAACCAAAACCCCACCCCCAUACUGAGUAAUUCCAUACACCUAUGGAAAAUAUAAUGUUAAAACUAGUAACAUGAAGCUAACCCUUCUCUUAAAUGUGAGUAUAAGCCAGAGUGGAAAACACACUGACAAUUAACAGCCUAAACUAAAGUAAUAAAUCUCUAAGAAAAUCUUACUAACACAUCUGUUAAUCUAACACAAGAACAUUUAAAGAAAGACUUAAAGAAAAAGAAGGAACUCGGCAAAACUGAUUCCGCCUGUUUACCAAAAACAUCGCCUCCUGAAUAAACUAUAGGAGGUCCAGCCUGCCCAGUGACUCUGUUUAACGGCCGCGGUAUCCUAACCGUGCGAAGGUAGCGUAAUCACCUGUUUUUUAAUUAAAGACCUGUAUGAAAGGCAUCACGAGAAUCACACUGUCUCCUUUCUCAAGUCAGUGAAACUAAUCUCCUCGUGAAAAAGCGAGGAUAAUACUACAAGACGAGAAGACCCUUUGGAGCUUAAGACAAGAUAAAUAAUUGCCCACUUCUAUUCCCCUACACCGCAUGGCACUCUAUUUAUUAGUCUUGGGUUGGGGCAACCACGGAGUACAAACUAACCUCCGAGCUGAACGGAAAUUUCCUAAACAAAAAGCAACAACUUUAUAUAUCAAUAAACUGACGCAACUUGACCCAAUAUAUUUGAUUAACGAACCAAGUUACCCCAGGGAUAACAGCGCAAUCCACUUAAAGAGUUCAUAUCGAAAAGUGGGCUUACGACCUCG